rnacentral:lncRNA from 1 species
UUAAGAGAGAGAGAGGAUAAACAUCAAAAUAGCUUCUCAUUGGAAAGACUGUGGAAUAAUCUAAUACGUGAAGACACGGAAGUCCGAAACAAAUGUAGUAUAAAUUCCUUCCCAGAGUCUUUGCAGAUACAAGCAUCGGCCACAAUUAACUUCAGAAGCUGAAUAUUUCUAAGCAACUGGUAUCAGCUUCCAGAAGAAGCUGGGGGCAGGGGGAGAGGCAGGUUAAAAGGGAUAGUUUCCAGAUAAUUCGGUGUUAACACUCAUUCAAAAGCAUGUAAGGGGAGGAGACAAAAGAACACUUUUAUUUUCAGUUCGGUGUGUGAAGUGAGCACACUGGAACCCCCCAAAAGUGCAGUUCUGGCAAUCUAGACAGUAGCCUGUUCCUGGAUGGAUAGUUUUCCGGUCGAGACAGAUAGUUGGUUUAAAUCUGCCUCAGGUCUGAAGUGACUGGAAAUCAACACCAGAUAAUGGCUGUUUGGUAGAUGAUGUGACAUGGGUUAAUGCACUCGGCCAAAUUUCUACUGGAUAUUGGACAUGCGCUCACAUUACAAAUGCUUCCAACAGCAUGCUCAGUAUUAAAUUAACAUCUAUGCUGACAAUCUUGCCAAAGAAAUCCAGAAGAGGAUGGACAUUAGUGAUGAACUGCACGUUCACCUUUGGAGUGAAGUCAUUAGCAAGCUUUCGUCAUGUGGCUGGAGCCAACUCUCCCGAAUUUGCAAAGAUCGACAGCUCCAGAGCUCACUGGGCCCCAUCCAACGCUCACAGGCCGUGAUGGAGGCAUUUCCAUGGAGCCGGACAGACGGUGGAUCACGACCCGGACUCAGGAGGUUGUGUAUAAAAAGUAUUGCAGGUCCUGGAUGGGAAGCUGGGUCACAGUUGUUCCAUGCUGUUGCGUGGCUAUAUCAAAUGGCAAACAACGAACCUGGACUUCCUUCAGGUCUGCACACGUAAGUCCUGCUGUUUGUGGGGUGGCCCAUCUGAAGUGUCACUGGAUGGCACUCUCAGAAGUGGAAAUUGCUGGGACAGCGACAUAAACUGAGGGUCUGCCUGGUCUUCAUCCUGGUCAGCUGUGAGAGCAACAGAUCUCCAGCGUGUCAGGGAACCGACUACGUCUGCCAGAGGAAAGGACUUAUCCUACUCAACUACCACACUGUACAGCCUUCCUGAGGCUCGGCCAGGGAUGCUGCAUUGAAGAUCUGGUGGGAGAAUGGUCAAAUGCCGAGCUACUGGGGGAUCUGGGUACAUGUCUCAUGAGAGGGGAGGUAUUUCCCAUACCCUCUGUUCACCAGUGCUGGAUGUAGGUUACUGACACCAGGACAACUAGACCAGCUUGUAGAGCACCCUGGAAAGGCCUUUAGGAAGCAGAGCUCCCCCAGGUAGGCUGGGGACAGCCACAGCCAGCUCAGAGGACAGAAAUCAAGCAGUCUUCUUGCAGUGACAGCCAAACUUCCUCUUGUUCACUGGUAGUACUACCCACAUUAUCAGUGUUUUUCCUUCACCAAGGUAUCCUCACCUUA